rnacentral:snRNA from 1 species
UUAACCUCUGGGCCACUUUUGGCUAAGAUCAAGUGUAGUAUCUGUUCUUAUCAGUUUAAUAACAUUCUUAAAAAUGAUGCCUGACCAAAAAUGAAGGCACAACAUUAAAAUAAACAAUUUUA